UACGAAGGGGGCUAGCGUUGUUCGGAAUCACUGGGCGUAAAGCGCUCGUAGGCGGAUCUUUUAAGUCAGAGGUGAAAUCCCAAGGCUCAACCUUGGAACUGCCUUUGAUACUGGGGAUCUCGAGUCCGGGAGAGGUGAGUGGAACUGCGAGUGUAGAGGUGAAAUUCGUAGAUAUUCGCAAGAACACCAGUGGCGAAGGCGGCUCACUGGCCCGGUACUGACGCUGAGGCGCGAAAGCGUGGGGAGCAAACAGG
rnacentral:rRNA from 1 species